UUUUUACUGUAUUUAGCUAGCAGUCCCUCAUCAGUGAAGGCUCCAAAAACAGGCAGAAACCUUCAGCAGAACCCUGCUAUUGACAUGUUUCGAUGCUGUUCUGGCUCCUGAGGGUCAAAGGUCGCACCCUUACCCCCCCCGGAGAGGACAGUACAAUAAUUCAGCUGACCAGAAACAACAAAACCCACAAUCUGCUAGCAAAGCUAAAAUUCGGAUACAUUCCGUCACAUGCGAUCGAGGUCGGCUUCUAUGCUGAGCACAGGAUGGAGCUAAGGGUUACCACGGUUACAGGGGCUCUUCCACCACCUGCACACACACGCCUCGGUUUUGCUAGCAUGUUUAAUAGCGGCGUACGCUAAUGCGGAUGGUGUGCCUGCGACGGGCAAUGGAAAAAAAAUGGGGAAAAAAAGUUGCUUGUUUGUGUUUGCGCGGGAGUGAGUUGAUCCCACUGAAAGUCACCUCUGACGGCCAUUAUACGCCCACAUGCUGAAAUAUCCCUCAAUUUCUGUUACCCCCCACCAGCUCCCUCCCCGACAUCGCUCUGAUUUGCAAGGGAAUCAGAGCGGACCACAUUAACAGGUGGUGCGUUCAAGGACCGGGUUGUGGAUCUGACACACAGCGGUGGGUCCGCGCUGGAGAACCGGAGCGUCGGGACCCUGAUUCGAGACCUCGGGAACGAUGUGGUCCCGGAAUAACGCCAUUGUCCACCGUUAUUUGCGUGUUUCCAGGUCACGUGCACGGCUGUAAAUCACCCCGGCGCCUUUGUUGUGCCGCCGCCCGUCUCUCAGUCUGGGUUCCGCGAUAGAUCCUGACAAGCUGCCGUCUGAAUUAUUGAUUCCCUGAUCUGAAAGUUUGAUGUUUAGCCCGAGGGUUGGAUUAACCCGGUGUCUCCCCUCAGAGGGAACCGUGGCACGGGCGCAGAGACGCGUGCACGGUCGCGUGGCCGGUCAAUGUGGCGGACCCACCUGGCUAGUUAGUGUUGAUUACAAUCACACAUCCACUGACGGAUAUCAGCUAACGCUAGCUGGCUGCGCUGACCCCCCAUGCUGCAGCGGAGUACCGCAGGGAAAUGGCGAUCGUUCCAGAGGUUCCCCGUCACCAGUGGGGGAGGUGAGGGGGUGGGGGGGGGGGUGGGGGGGGGACACCCUGCGGCUCGGAGACAUAGCUCCACACAUCUGCCAACGUUUAGCCUGGGAAACCCCAGAGAUCAGGUGAGUCAGUGACCAUCACCUCCGGCCGAACAGCAAGUUUCUGAGAAUUCCCUGAGCUUUUAUCCCUCCAGCGUCUUUUUUCGCUGUGAUCGUGCAUGUGGGAAAGCGUGCGCACGUCACGGCGCUCCAGCUGGCGACCGUCUGGGCGCGGGCCUGCUUGCGUCACCCUCGAAGCAGCAAAGUUCCCUUGUUUUUUUUAAGUCAAUGGUUGUUCUGGACCUUUGUAACUGAAACUUUCCUCACAUUGGGAACGUUAACGUAGCUUCUAGAUUAGCAUCACUGCAGCAGAAGAAGGCGGGGCUAUGAUCUGGCAGAUGCUGAUUGGUGGAACACUUGUUGGGGUUUUCCUGCAGGGGGCGUGGAGGAGUCAACAUUGGCAGGCGCACCUGUCGGCCAUCUCCAUCAGAGUGUUCUGGUGCUGCUCGUUUGAGGUCUCCACGCCGUCCUGCUGGACUAGAGAACGAGCUGAACCCGGAAGAUCGAACGAGUGCAUCCAGAAGGACCGCCAGUUUGAUUUGUUUAGUUAAAUAAAGGCUAGUUUUUGGACUUUUAUCACUGCGUUCUUUGCUUCCUGUAAACCCAACCUAACAACACUUGUGUUGCCCCGCCCUGUUUAGAGAGAUCGCCAACUACUAACUAAGUUUCACUUAAAAAAUGAGAAUUUGAAAACGAGCAAAUUGGUUUCGAGCCGCCAACUCAAAAUGACCCAAAACUUGGAAUAAAGGCAGCGCAAGAAAAGUGAUUUUUUUUUGGUUUUUAUCUAAAAUUUUCCAUAAAAAGGCAGAAUCAACGUGGCUGCAGCGGCCUUGUUGUGGGACGGCGGCGCUACAUUUCACCAUUGCUAGUGAACGUGUUCCGCGCGGCGGCUCGAUGCCGCUGGGAUAAUCCGCAGGUUGACUUAAAUGAACCAGGAGGGGAUCAUCUCCUCACGCCACAACUCUUAAAGCGCGGCAGCAAAACAGCGGGAGGAGCCACAUGAGAAGCUCGUGGCGGCCGUGAAGAGGACAUAAACGGUCUGAACACGCUGACUGCCUGAUUUUAAAGGGCCUGCAGGAAGAGAACAAGUCCCUUUGUACGACCUGGUUUCUGAAGCGCAGCCGGCAGAAAGCGAACGUCGCCUCAGCCCCGUUCUCGCACGCUGAGUUCUUCAAAUUAUCCAUCAAACAGGUUCAGAUCGUCUCACUUCUUUGGCGGCUUCAAACAGGCGGCAAGAAAGAGGAGGAGGGUUGGAGAGAGAGAGAGAGAGAGCGAGAGAGGAAGGGUGGACGCGGGCAUCUGACAAACUCAUUUGCAACGUGGAGGCGAAGUCUGUGGUAGGAAAACUGAAAGAGAUGCCUGUCUUCUGCUGCUACAGUAAAUAGCUUUUAUAUACUUGGUAAAACAAAAAAAGCAGCCUAGCCCGGCUGUGAAGGCUGUCUCGUCUAGACGUGGUAAACGGGCGACAUUUGAAGCGUUGCCAAAUAAAAGAUGAGCUGUGACUCAAAAGGCCUCUCCACUCCGCGCUCUCUUUAUCUCCACCCAGUCUCUCGCGGCUCUGAAGUUUCGACAGUUCGGCACCUGUUUAUCGGGAGUGCGACCAGAAAAGAAAAAAGUUAGCGUCUGUUUUUGGUUUUGUUCCGACCUUUUGAGCCGGCUGGUGUUGGUCAAACUGUUUUCUACGGAGAGAAUAAACAGGAGGCCUGUCCAGGAUUUGUUUAUAGCUGUUCCUUCGUUAGCAUGAGUAGAGGUACCCUGCUACAUUAGCAGUAGCAAAGCGUACCGAACCGGAACUUGGCACUAUCCGGCUACUACUCGAUUGGACCAUAUUGUUGGUUGUUCCCUGUUUGGACAGGUAAAUCUGAAGCUAGCUAGCUACAAACCUCAUGGCCCGUGUGCUGGUUUAUCUGAUGACUGAAGCUAUUCCUCCUCCUCCCAGGAUUCCAAGAGCAUCUUGAGACCACAGGGUGGGACUCUUGUGGCUCCACCAGGCUUGUGAAUCACGGCCCACUUGCCCAGGUCAGCGGCCACGUCGGCGGGAGGCUCCACCGUCACACAUCCGCCCGUUGGCUGAUGACCAGCGCUUGAGUCACGAAAAUGCUAACUUCCUGUCGGGCCCUCGGCUGUGACGGUAAAUUCCUCCGUCUAAAAAAAAGCAAACUCACACUCCUGUAGAAGCAGAGACACACAAGACAACAAUCAUGUCCUCGAAAGUCCUCGAUAUCACUAAAAUAUAUCGGUUACGUUGGCGUCGCUUGUGAAGAAGGCAGCGAUUCAUCGACUUCACAGGUGAACCCAAAAACCGCCGCGACUUCGCUGGAUUUAGACACUUGUUGCUCUGACAGUAACUCAAAAUAUCAAGACAGCUUCAGGGCAAUUACAAAAAACUCCAGACUUCCAAUAAACAAUCAAUCACGCUAACUUUGUUUUCCGCGUACAAAGAGAGCAUCUCGACAAACGAACGCCCC
rnacentral:lncRNA from 1 species